rnacentral:rRNA from 1 species
CGCGUAGGCGGUCGACCAAGUCAGGGGUGAAAUCCUGCAGCUUAACUGUAGAAGUGCCUUUGAUACUGGUCGUCUCGAGGGAGGUAGGGGUGUGUGGAACUUCCAGUGGAGCGGUGAAAUGCGUUGAUAUUGGAAGGAACGCCGGAGGCGAAAGCGACGCACUGGACCUCUUCUGACGCUGAGGCGCGAAAGCUAGGGGAGCAAACGGGAUUAGAUACCCCGGUAGUCCUAGCCCUAAACGAUGGGUACUAGAUUGUAGACUGAUCAUGGGUUUACAGUCGAAGCAAAAGUGUUAAGUACCCCGCCUGGGGAGUAUGGUCGCAAGGCUGAA